GUUUCUGCAGCUCACAGAGAGAAUAAUUGUCCUCUUUUUGGUGAUCACCAGUCAAGAAGAAGUCCAAGAGAAAUACGUGGUACACUUAUAGCAUGUUGUCAGUCAUUGGAAUAUCCUAUGCUGUCUUGACAUGGUUCAGUCAAACACUGUGGAUGCCAAUUUAUCCUCUGUGUGUUCUCGCUGAAGCAUUUACCAUCUAUCAGUCGCUGCCUUAUUUCGAAUCAUUUGGCACUUACUCCACAAAGAUGCCCUUUGACUUAUCCAUCUAUUUCCCAUAUGUGCUGAAAAUAUAUCUCAUGAUGCUCUUUGUAGGUAUGUAUUUCACCUACAGUCAUCUUUACUCAGAAAGACGAGACAUCCUCAGAGUGUCUCCCAAUAAGAAGAAAAUGUGAAGCAUGGCACUGGGAUGUGACGUGAGACAGAAGAGGCUUGUGGAGUCAGCUGCAGGAAACACAAUAUGGGAAGUGUUCUGGUGAACAGAUAUCUAGUAUUUGACAAAAAUCCAUAACAUGGAAUAAUUGCACUCCUCUCCAGAACUCUUGACAUACACAGCAGUCACACAUUUUUAGUUCACAUUUUUCUCACACAUUUUUAGUUCAUAUACUCUUCACAACCUGUUUUACCAAAGCCGUAAAUUUUACACAAGUUAAGUUUGUAUCAUGUGAAGCCUGAUUAUUUUCCUGUAAAGUUAAUGAGAAAUAGGAUUUUAACUGGAAUAGAUUCAAUUAAACCAAGAAACCAAA